rnacentral:rRNA from 1 species
UGAGGGAUAUUGGUCAAUGGGCGCAAGCCUGAACCAGCGACGCCGCGUGGGUGAAGAAGGUCUUCGGAUCGUAAAGCCCUUUUCCCACUGAAGAGGAAGGACGGUAGGUGGGGAAGAAGUCUCGGCUAACUACGUGCCAGCAGCCGCGGUAAAACGUAGGAGACAAGCGUUAUCCGGAGUUACUGGGCGUAAAGGGCGUGCAGGUGGCGUCUUAAGUCUGUUGUGAAAGCGCCUGGCUUAACCGGGCGAGGCCAAUGGAGACUGAGAGGCUGGAGGACGGCGGAGGGCUGUGGAAUUCCGGGUGUAGUGGUGAAAUGCGUAGAGAUCCGGAGGAACACCAGAGGCGAAGGCGGCACUCUAAGCCGUACCUGACACUGAGACGCGACAGCACGGGGAGCAAACG